UCAGGGAUCAAUACUAGGUCCGCUACUCUUUAUUUUAUAUAUAAAUGAUCUCCCAAAUGCAUUGGAAUUGGCCAAAUCGUUUCUUUUUGCUGAUGACACAAGCGUAUAUUAUUCACAUCUGGAUAUUAAAAAUCUCGAGAUUAUCUUAAAUCGUGAACUGGCAAACCUAGAUGUUUGGAUGAAAUCAAACAAAUUAUCUGUAAAUAUUAGUAAAACUAAUUAUGUUAUCUUUCGGCCCUGCAGACAAAGAAAAUUUAAUAUAAAUUUAUGUCUCCAGUACAACAAUCAAACCCUAACCCAGAGGCAAUGUAUCAAAUUCUUAGGUGUGUAUAUUGAUGAGAAUUUGUCGUGGAAAAUUCACAUAAAUAAUAUUUGUAAAAAGAUAGCGAAAUCUGUUGGAAUUAUCUACAGGUCUCGCCAUCUUUUAUCACCUACAACAAAGUUAUGCUUAUAUUAUACUCUUAUAUAUCCUUAUCUAACCUAUUGUAAUAUUGUAUGGUCCUCUACUUAUGUAACCAAUCUAAACAGAAUUUAUCUUCUACAAAAACGGGUUGUAAGAGCUCUGACGAACUCUGACUACCGUGCCCACUCCUCUCCGUUAUUCUAUCAGUUAAAAAUAUUAGAUAUAUUUAAAUUGAAUUCCUUUUACAUGGGUAAAUUUAUGUAUAAAUACCACUAUCACUUGUUACCUGAAUGUUUCGAUAACUUAUUUAUCACAAACAAUCAAGUACAUAGCUAUAACACUAGAUCGGCUACAUAUUACAGACCUCACGCGUGUCGGACAAACAUAAAGCAAUUUACUAUUCUUUCUGUUGGUCCGAAUACAUGGAAUUCUUUUCCACCAUAUAUUACGGCUAAAACCACCAUUUCCUCUUUCAAGAAUCAAUUAUGCAUUUUCCUACUUGAAAAUUAUAAUAUCGUAUGGACGUCGAAAUCGACAUGUUUUAGUUAACUUGUAUAUUAUGUAGUAAUGUAUGUGUGUUUUGAACUUGUACAAAGAUAUGAUCUUAAUUAUUCUGAGUUAUCACAGUGCAGGGCCUUUUUUAACAUAUAAGCUGGGGGGGCAUUUGCCCCCCCCCCAGUCCACCCUUGUGCCCCCCCCACGAAAUCACAUUUUGCCCCCCCAGGAAAAGUCCCUUUUUCCUAAAAUUAUACAAACAAUCCAGCGAAGAUUAACAAAUAGAUAAACGGAAAGUAAGUUUUAGGCUUUAGCCUUUGUUCUUGUUUAACAAAAUCGAUUUAAAUUGUUACUUUUUUUACCAAUAAGCCAUGAUAAAUUAUUGUUAAUAUUUUUUUUUUGGAUGCUCAGAAUGCAGAAAAUAGCAUUUCACUGUUUCAAAUUUCAAAAAUUUUCUUGGGAUUACCCCUCUAAUAAGUAAUGAUAAAUUACAGUUAAUAUUCUUUUUUACUUUUUGUGCAUUUUUCCAUCUUUUAUUUCAAAUACAACUAUAGUUAGCAUAAAUUUUAGAGCAAAUUUGGAUGCUCGGAAUGCAGGAAAUGGCAUUUCCGUGGUUCAAAUUUCAAACAUUUUCUGGGGGAGUACACCCCCACACACCUGACCAUUGCUAUCCUCCUCUAAUAAGUAAUGAUAAAUGAUGGUUAAUUUUUUUUUACUUUUUGUGUGUUUCUUCCUUUAUUUAUUUCAAAUACAAGUAUAGUUAGGAUAAAUUUUGGAGCAAAAUUGGAUGCUCAGAAUGCAGGAAAUGACAUUUACGGGAGUCAAAUUUCAAAAAUUUUCUGGGGGAGUCCCAGACCCCCCAUUCAUGCGUGGUAUAUUUGCCACACACGUGGCUUUCAGCCAUUGCUAUCCCCCUCUAAUAUAUUAUCGAG